rnacentral:rRNA from 1 species
CCUACGGGUGGCUGCAGUGGGGGAUAUUGCACAAUGGGGGAAACCCUGAUGCAGCGACGCCGCGUGGGUGAAGAAGCGCCUCGGCGCGUAAAGCCCUGUCAGCAGGGAAGAAAAUGACGGUACCUGAAGAAGAAGCCCCGGCUAACUACGUGCCAGCAGCCGCGGAAAUACGUAGGGGGCAAGCGUUAUCCGGAUUUACGGGGUGUAAAGGGGGCGCAGACGGCGAUGCAAGCCAGGAGUGAAAGCCCGGGGCCCAACCCCGGGACUGCCCUUGGAACUGCGUGGCUAGAGUGCAGGAGGGGGAGGCGGAAUUCCUGGUGUAGCGGUGAAAUGCGUAGAUAUCAGGAGGAACCCCGGUGGCGAAGGCGGCCUGCUGGACUGCAACUGACGUUGAGGCCCGAAAGCGUGGGGAGCAAACAGGAUUAGAUACCCUGGUAGUC